AUUUUUUGAAUUUUAGUAGAGGCAGGGUUUCAUCAUGUUGCCCAGGCUGGUCUUGAACUCUUUAGCUCAGGCAAUCCGCCGGCCUCGGGCUCCCAAGGUGCUGAGAUUACAGGUGUGAGCCACCGUGCCUGGCCCAAUACCAAGCAUUUUUCAUGGUUAACCCAUUUAUUUAAUCUUCACAAACCCAGUAUGCCUAUGCUGCAGAUGAGGAAACCAAGGCAUAGAGAUGUUUGGCCGCUUGCCAAAGGAACACAGAGCCAGUAAGUGACAGCCCUGGAGUAGAAGGUCCAGGCUGCCUGGUUCCAGAGUCCCUCCUCUUAACCUCAGUGGGGGAAAUGGAAGCAUUGGUUACUUUCUAGUUCAGUGUUUUUGCAUCCAUUAUCUCAUUUGGUCCUUUCAACUCCCCUCAGGAAGUACUUAAAUCCCAUCAUCCCCUUUAUCUCAUUAGAAACAGAGGACUCAGAAAGGUUAAGUAGGCUGGGCGCGGUGGCUCACGCCUGUAAUCCCAGCACUUAGGGAGGCUGAGGCAGGAGAAAUCACUUGAGGUCAGGAGUUUGAGACCAGCCUGGCCAACAUGGUGAAAACCUGUUUCUACUAAAAAUACAAAAAUUAGCCAGGUGUGGCCGGGCACAGUGGCUCACACCUGUAAUCCUAGAACUUUGGGAGGCCGAGGCCGGUGGAUCACGAGGUCAGGAGUUCAAGACCAACCUGACCAACAUGGUAAAAUCCCGUCUCUACUAAAAAUAUAAAAAUUAGCCAGGUGUGGUGGCAUGCACCUGUAGUCCCAGCUACUCAGGAGGAUGAGGCAGAGGAAUCACUGGAACCCAGGAGGCGGAGGUUGCAGUGAGCAAGAUCGCACCACUACACUCCAGCCUGGGUGACAGAGUGAGACUCCUUCUCAAAAAGAAAAAAAAAAAAAGCCAGGUGUGGUGUGUGCCCGUAAUCCUAACCCCAGCUACUCGGGAGACUGAGGCACAAGAACCACUUGAACCUGGGAGGCGGAGGCUGUAGUGAGUGAGAUCGCACCACUGCACUCCAGCCUGGGUGACAGGGCAAGGCUGUCUCAAAAAAAAAAAAGGUUAAGUAACUGGUCCAGGGAGCCCAGCUCAUGGGAUGAUAAUGGUUACCACUAUUGGCUGCCCUCAUAAAUCAGAGAGUAGGCUGGGUGCGGUAGCUCACUCCUGUAAUCCCAGCACUUUGGGAGGCCGAGGUGGGCAGAUCACGAGGUCAGGAGAUCGAGACCAUCCUGGCCAACAUGGUGAAACCCUGUCUCUACUAAAAAAUACAAAAAAUUAGCCGGGCCGUGGUGGUACACUCCUGUAGUCCCAGCCACUCAGGAGGCUGAGGCAGGAGAAUCGCUUGAACCUGGGAGGUGGAGGUUGCAGUGAGCUAAGAUCGCGCCACUGCACUCCAGCCUGGUGACAGAGCAAGACUCUGUCUAAAAUAAAUAAAUAAAUAAAUAAAUAAAUAAAUAAAUAAAUAAAUAAAUCAGAGAGUAUACUGGGCUCCUUACAGCAAUCCUCUCAACAAUAACACGAGAGGGAUUACAACCCCACUUUAUAGGUGAAGAAAUAGAGAAUCAGAGGCUAAAUAAUUCCCCCAAGAUUCCAAGUUCAAUAAAAAACAACCAACAAUAAGAAUAAAUCAAUACGUAAACCAAUCAGAGCUUGAAUUUCAAGCCCAUGCUGUCUUCUAACUUCAAAUCCUCCACCUCAACUCUUCCUCCGUGUUUCUCAGAUCCCC
rnacentral:lncRNA from 1 species